rnacentral:rRNA from 1 species
UACGUAGGGCGCAAGCGUUGUCCGGAAUUAUUGGGCGUAAAGAGCUCGUAGGCGGCCUGUUGCGUCCGCUGUGAAAUCCCGGGGCUUAACCCCGGGCCUGCAGUGGAUACGGGCAGGCUAGAGGUAGGUAGGGGAGAAUGGAAUUCCCGGUGUAGCGGUGAAAUGCGCAGAUAUCGGGAGGAACACCGGUGGCGAAGGCGGUUCUCUGGGCCUUACCUGACGCUGAGGAGCGAAAGCGUGGGGAGCGAACAGG